rnacentral:lncRNA from 1 species
UAAUAUAAAGAUGCAAAAAGACUAUAUUAAUUAAAAUAUGUAAUGUCAGUCACUGUAACAUUGAAUCCGAAACAUAUUAUCAAAACAUAAAUAAAAAUCAUUCACUAAGUAUGAAUACAUCUAAUGUGGCUCUUAUAUCAUGAACUAACAACUAUGUACUCCAAAACUUGUAGCUCAUCUGCUCAAUUAAUUAUAUAAAACUCUAAUGUUCUCUCGAGUAAUACGCACGAUCCGAGAGGUCCUAAUUUGUUUACACGUCCCUUGAGUAGGAAGAUCUAGAGUCCUUGACAAGUAUCCUGCACCUAUCCCUAUAAAUCCAAUAAUAAAAAUCGAACACGUAAAUGGACUUCAUAUAGUAAGAGAAUUAACUUUAAAAAAAAAAAAAACCCAACUUAAACUCAUUUAUUUCAUCUUCCAAUGUCCUCUCAUUUUCUUCAGUUCUUUGAACGUUUUCACUUUUGCUGCACCUAUUACAUGAUAUUCACAUUACCUUUUUAUACUUGCUCAUUACUUAAAAUGCAAAAGUUUCUACUUCAAUCAAGGCAUAGAUAGAUGCAGAUAACACACAAGAAAUUUAAAAAAUUACACAAUAGAAGUCAAACACGUUUCUCCAAUUCUAGAUUCCAAUUGCAAACUUAGGAAUGCCAAGUAACACGCAAGAAAUUUAAAAAAUUCAAUAAUCACAGAAGCAUAACAUGUCUUUCCAGUUUUAUAAGAGAACAAGAGCAAGCUACUAAAGUUCAAGCAUGUUUAGCAAUUCAUAGCCUAUGCUAACAGGUCCAUCUCAGAAAAACAUUUUUGCAUAUAUAUAUCAAUUAGUGUUUAAUUUAAAAUGUUCUGAGCCCAUCAAAACAGUCAAUGUCACUCUCGAUUGAAGAAAACGUGUAAAUCGUUACACACAAGUUCUUUUCCAAUGUAUUCUCUCUUUAGCAAUAUAUAGAAUAUAUUAACAAAGAAGAAAAAACAGCAAAAUUCACCUUUAACGAUUUUCAUUUUUAUUUCGACACAAAUCAGAAAAUUAUUCAAGAAAAGGAUUGUAGCCUAGUUUUGAUAUAAAUCAUGGAGCAAUGCAGACACAAGCUAGAGGCGUUGCUUUUCCAGGUCGAAGACACUUGCCUCCCCUCUUAUAUUCUUUUUCUAUACAAGUCAAAUAUGUUUGUGAGCAUAAGAUUGCAUAGAACCAAAAUGAAACCUCUUAAUAGAAGGUUUUAAGCUCCCUCCCUCACGGUUAAUUUAUCACUUGACCUUGAUGUCAUAUAUACAGUCCCAACCGGAAAAUCUUACAAUUAUACUUGCUUUAACGUGGCUGUCUACAUAAAUAACAUAGGCAUAUUUAUAAGUUACUAGAGAAGCUAUUUGCCUGUACCCUUCUUUAAAUGCAUUGAGAGCACCUCUCCAAUCACCAGCAGAAUCCAAAACAUCUCCAAUACUUUUUUGCAUUCCUAACUAAGUUGUGGUCACCAUCAGAUAAAAACAUAUCAUGGUAAGUUUGACCAAGCUGAGUGCUGGCUCUUUGUUGCUCAAUGAGGUCAUCUGCAUCCUUAGCAAGCUCUAAAUGCUUUUUUUGCCAGGUUUAAACAAUGGAAAUUCAACAGGGUAAUAUUGAAGUGCAGAAACUGAACAGUUAAAAGAACAUAGGGAGAUUUCUUUGCAGUAGUGUAACUUCAUAUAGAUUAGGAAUUAGGUUGAGACAAAGCAUAAAGGAAGGAAGUUUGUUGAGUAGAAAAUGAGAAAAUUUGUUACCCAAUACAUGCUUCCUCAAUUUGUUCUUUUUAGGUCAACAGAAAUUCAAAAUAAAUUAACUUGGGUCAAAAUAUCGUAUUAAUCACCAAUGGUAUAUAUCAAAAUUUGAAUUUGACGGAUCACAGACCUGUACUCGAAACCAUCAACUUCUAGUGAGGCAAAUUGGAGAAAAUCCCAAUUAAAAAUUGAGGAUAAUUAAAUAGAAAUGCCCCUACAAUUAAAUCCAAUUUAGUAAGUAGUUUUUCAAGAAAGAUACCAAUUAACUCCCACUUGUAAUCAGACCUUCUCCCCCCCCCCCCCCCCCCCCCCCGAUAUAGAAUCGAACAGGCUGCUUUUCAUUGUCUCCAAAUUCCAAACCAGAAAGAAUCACAAUACAGGCAAUAAUAUUCCAAAAUAGUAAAGCGCAUACUUGAUAAUUAAGGGCGUCCUGUAGUGCUGAAGGCGGAGAUAGACUUCACCGAGGCACGUCGGAAGUAGCUGCUUUUCCGACAAGUACUUGACAGAGACAUCGUAAUUGACUCUCAGCCAUCGUACUCAUAGCUGGAAAAGGUGAAUGACGAUAAAAUUAGUUUCCCCCCUUAAAAUCACCUCCAAAUAGCCGCCAAGAUUAAGCAGAUUAAGUGUAAAAAAAAAAAAAAAACUGAAUCCGAUGAGUUGCGUAGUCUGGACAUGGAACGGUCAGGCUUUGGCACCGGAGCGAGGAUGGAAACUGGCUAUUCGUAGACUUAUAGAGGCGGCGGCGAUUUCAGGCAUAGAGGCUGUAAAUUGUAGCGUUGAGACUGAGAGAUGGAACUUGGAAGUAAUUUAUGAGGUAGGGUUUGGAUUGCAAUGGAAAAGAUUGGCGGGGAAUUGAGGAUCGAUUUGAGUUGGAGUGAUUUAGGGUUACUGUUUUUGACUCCUCCUACCGUCUCUGUCUCUCUGAGUCCCCCAUAUUUUUAAAGGAAGAAAAAAAAAAAAGUUAACUCUAAAGCG